rnacentral:rRNA from 1 species
CCUACGGGAGGCAGCAGUGAGGAAUAUUGGUCAAUGGACGAGAGUCUGACCCAGCCAAGUAGCGUGAAGGAUGACUGCCCUAUGGGUUGUAAACUUCUUUUAUAUGGGAGUAAAAAAGGGGAUGCAUACCCUCUUGUAUGUACCAUACGAAUAAGGAUCGGCUACCUCCGUGCCAGCAGCCCCGGUAAUACGGAGGAUUCGAGCGUUAUCCGGAUUUAUUGGGUUUAAAGGGAGCGUAGGUGGAUAGUUAAGUCAGUUGUGAAAGUUCGGGGCUCAACCUUAAAAUUGCAGUUGAAACUGGCAGUCUUGAGUACAGGAGAGGUGAGCGGAAUUCGUGGUGUAGCGGUGAAAUGCUUAGAUAUCACGAAGAACACCGAUUGCGAAGGCAGAUUACUGGACGGCAACUGACGCUGAGGCGCGAAAGUGUGGGUAUCAAACAGGAUUAGAUACCCUAGUAGUC